AGCCAUCAACUCCUCCCGUUUGUUGCGGGCUGUGUGUUGGACUUGGGGGCCUGCUGCCGUGAGGCCGCUCCCCUCGAAUGCGUCGGUUGGGCCUGAGGGUCAAACUCGACUGGGCGUUGUACAAACCUCGCUCUGACCGAGUCCCUUUUUGCGUGCCCUCCCUGGACCUGCCCUUUUGGAGUGGCGGUCAAACUUUUCGAA
rnacentral:misc_RNA from 1 species